rnacentral:rRNA from 1 species
AAGGGCUUGCAAGCAGACACGGCCUUCGUGCCGGGCCAGCAUCGGUUGCUAGGGGUGGAUAAGGAACAAGGAAUGUAGCUCCUCGGAGUAUUAUAGCCUUGCGCGAUACACCCACUGGCGACCGAGGCCUGCGGUAUUCCUACCUAGGAUGCUGGCGUAAUGGUUGCAAGCCG